AACGAACGCUGGCGGCAGGCCUAACACAUGCAAGUCGAGCGAGACCUUCGGGUCUAGCGGCGGACGGGUGAGUAACGCGUGGGAACGUACCCUUUUCUGCAGGAUAGCCACUGGAAACGGUGAGUAAUACUGCAUACGCCCUUCGGGGGAAAGAUUUAUCGGAGAAGGAUCGGCCCGCGUUAGAUUAGGUAGUUGGUGGGGUAAUGGCCUACCAAGCCUACGAUCUAUAGCUGGUUUGAGAGGAUGAUCAGCCACACUGGGACUGAGACACGGCCCAGACUCCUACGGGAGGCAGCAGUGGGGAAUCUUAGACAAUGGGGGCAACCCUGAUCUAGCCAUGCCGCGUGAGUGAUGAAGGCCUUAGGGUCGUAAAGCUCUUUCGCUGGGGAAGAUAAUGACGGUACCCAGUAAAGAAACCCCGGCUAACUCCGUGCCAGCAGCCGCGGUAAU
rnacentral:rRNA from 1 species